UGCAUCGGCGGGAAUCGAACCCGGGCCGCCCGCUUGGCAGGCGAGCAUUCUACCACUGAACCACCGAUGC
rnacentral:tRNA from 1 species